GUUAGCUGCGAUGGGCGUUUCCGCAUUCCGUGUUAAACUCCUCGUGAGCUCAGGAGGCAGGAAAGCGGAUUGUUCCUGAAGUAGCUUCCACGGACCCGAGCCAAAGACCAUCCCAGGGGAUCGCACUUCGCACGCCUACAAGUCCAGGAUGCCUUAUAUUCUCAUCAGCACUCAGAUCCGUCUGGAGACUGGACCCACAAUAGUAGGAGAUGAGCAUUCAGAUCCAGUCAUAAUGAACUACCUGGGAGCCAGAAAGACAACGAUGCUGGGUAACAACUUCUCAGAAUACCACGUGGACGAAGCGCCUCGGGUUGUUCUGGACAAGCUAGAGAACAUUGGGUUCCGUCUGGUGACCAUGACCGGCGUGGGCCAGACGCUGGUGUGGUGUCUGCACAGAGACACAGUCAGCCAGGACUGACCUCAGGGAAAAACGUUGUGGGGAAUCACUGUCAUUAACACGACAGCUGUGCUCAGAAGCAACAGCGAAUCCAGACAAGGUGCUGAGGUGGCAGCGGCUGAUGGAGAGGAUGCACUUCCUGUGUGGAGUGUUGCUGCCUUGAUGCGUCUUUCAUGCAAGCAAGGAAUAAGGUCAAGCAUCGUGCACUAAGGGCCAGUGUGUAAAUCCAUCCAUCCAUCCAUCCAUCCAUAACCACUUAUCCUAUUCAGGAUCAGGGGGAUCCAGAACCUAUGGGUUACCUUGGGACUUGUUCUGGGUCUUGUCAGUGCCCCUACAUCCACAGAAACCCCCAGCCUCGUCCUUGCUGUUACUCGCCCCCACCAUGGCACACAGCCCCUCCCAGGACACAAAGGGCUCACACUCGCUCACCAUCUCGCCGCUCAGACACUGACACCCGCAAUGCCGCUUUACUCUCUCCUUCAACGGCAAAGUAAUUUCUGAAAAUACAGCAAGCAAUACAAAAUGGAGUCUCAAGUACCCAGGUCAGUUUGCUCAUUCUCCUGAAGUGGAUGUGUUUCUACUGAGCAUUUGAGUCUUCCGUGUAAAGGUUCACGGACUACACGUGAUAUUUUGAGUGUCAGUUCCAUGUAAUUAAAGAUUGACUUAAUUUUCCACAGGAAGUCAUUGCUGGAAAUGGAUUUGAUGCUUCCCACUUCUAAAUCUGUAUCUGAUGGAAUUUAGUGGCUAGAUGCCAUCACUGAUAUAUUACGCUUUAAUUUUGAAUUGUUGUUGGGUUUACCCCAACUUUGAGUGUUAUUUCAGAUACUGUAUUCUAGCCUAAUUUCAGAUGGGGGCUACAUGUUGCAUCAUACUUAUGGUAACGGAUGUUUUUUCAAAAUACUGAUAGAAAAACCUUCAAUACACGUGCAAUGUAGUUACAACACAAAUAUUUGCAUAAUUUCUAAAAUGUAAUACGUCAUGUUAUCCUGGUACCUUUCAACCUCAGAGUCACUGUUAUGCUGUCAUCACGUUCCAAUCAGUGCAAGGUAUUCUUGGGUCCCAAUUACAGAGGAAACAUGCAUUCUGAUCCAUAAGCCAUCCUGGCCCAUCCUCCAGGCAGUUUCGCAUCAGUCGGUCAUGUGUUACCUAACCCGUGACCCAUUUCCCAGCGGUGUGACCUUCCUGAUACCUGCCUGGUGCCCAGAGUGAGCCCUUACACAACACAGUACAGCAAGAUGGCAACUCUCAAGAAAUAAUAAUCAACACAACCUAAAGGGAUCUUUCAUGUCAGACACAUAUGAACUACAUCUUUCCUGUUCCAGUGAAAUCCAUUGAUGAAAAUGAAUAAAUCACCCGACCAGCUCUGGAACAAGUUAAGGACCAGUUAUUGUGAGGCAGUACCAUACCCACCCAUUACACAGCUGAUCCAAGGUGACUUUUUGAUGGCUUCAUCCCAGGUACAGCUUUCUGUCUGGGACCGAUGACAAUUUCCAAACUGUGUGUGGCAGCAGGAUGCGAAUCCCUCCAAAGCUCGGAGAACUCCCUAAGCUGGGACGAAGUGGCAGCUUGUGUGAAUGACCGAGCAGGGUAAGCAUCGGAGCUCCUUGUACGUCGGACAGCCAGGAUGAAGCCCAGAAAUCAUCAUUACAAUGCAGCGUGAAUAGUCCUACCCUGACAGCAUCACAGGCGGCUUACAGCCUCCUCCGUGCGACAGAGAAGCUUGUGUGCUUUGCAUAAAUCUUACUUUUGAAGGUACUGGACUAAGCGGCAUGUUCCAAAGCCACAGCGGGCGGCACAAGCAGGCCUCGUUACCAGCACCGGAAGCUUGUGCCAGGCUAAUGGCACUUUGGAGCACGUUCCUCAGGCUCUGGAACCCUUAUUGGGGCCCGUUAUUCUGCAUCGGUCAAGAUGCAGAAGGUAAUUAUAAGCUACCCGCCAACAUUUAAGGAGACCUUUAAGUCGUCUUGAUGUGAGUUGAUGUGCAUUGAACCAUAGCCUUUUGACGCCAAUGAUAGUUAUUUUAAUGACAUGAACAGAAGCCCAAUUCUAGACAGACAGCACAAGUUACUUUGUACCACCCAACAUUUGCUCACAUCAUGCUGAAAUACAUUUAUUAACGUAUACAAUCUUGUUUACAGAUGCACAACCUGGUCAAGAGCCAGUAUGUGGAAGCACUUUAACUAGAGCAGGAAUGCCGAGAAAAUGUAUUAUGUCCUUGGUUUCUGAAAGACCUGGACUGGCCACAAAACUAAGCGCAGCCCAAGAAAUAGACCGGCUCCCACAUACAUAAUCACUAACUAUUCUUUCUGCAGCCUCUACUACCCACUAACCAAAAAGAGAAGAGAGAACAUUGAGAGGGUCCUUUGGCUGGAUAAAUGUUAUGACAUGUCAAUUGUUU